CUAUAUUGACAUGUAAAGUUCUCGAAGUUAAAAACUGAUCGGAUUAUGCAGUUACUUACACUUUUCUUUUCCUUUCUCGGAUAAGAGAGAUCAAAGGACUUUACCUGUACCAGAGUUCCAGUUUGGUACUAGUUUGUGACAUAAACAUUUUGUCAUGCUAACUGGUGAGACUUCUAAAUUUUUUGACGCUUCUUACUUAAUCUAAAGUAUCAUGAUGAUAUACGUGCUUGAUGCUCGUAUAGAAAAGCUAUAAUCUUUGAUAUGUGCGUAUUAUCCUCAAACAUCUGUCAUAUACUCAGUUUUCUAACUUUUGGAUUGCCUUCGUGGUGAUAAAGUUUCACAGGAACCAUCUCUCCAGCAAUCUGUUUUUCUUGUACAUUUUUCGUAAUUUUCUCUCUCUUUCUUUACCUGUGGGAAGUUUUAGUUAUAAUGGACAAAACCGCUUUGGUUUUUAGAGUCUCCAAAAUUAUGUGGAUGUCUUAUUUUGAUCUUUUCUUCUGCUUCUUGGGAAGCUUGUUGAGGAGGAGGAAGGGAACUUUGCACUGUGGACUUCUUACAUUCUAACAGGUGUUGGAGCAAACCUGGUGUCAUGGUUAGUUCUCCCAAGAAAUACAGUUUCUCUUGGAGCGUCUGGUGCUGUGGUCGGUCUAUUUGAUAUUAGUGUUCUUGUCAAGAUGUGUUGGCACUGGAGAAAGAUCCUUGAAGUUCUUAUACUAGGCCAGUUUGUUAUCGAGAAGUCACGUGAUGAGAGCAGCACAAGAUUCAACAGAAUGUCAGGUGCAAGUUCCGCUAUGCAAAGUGUCAAUCACAUUGCUCAUCUAUCUGGCUCUUUGGUCGGUCCAGGUCUAGUUUGGCUUCUAAGUAGAGUUCCAUCUGAACCUUCCGACCGAGGCAUACCGAAGUUCAGUGAUAAUACAAAUCAAAAAACUUAAGUGCUUGUGGUGUAGCGAACCAACUUAUUAGCCUAUGAACGACAAAUGCAAAUGAGCAAGAUGGGAAGUGGCAAAGUGCUCGGGCGACACCAUCAAUGAAUCAACAAUGAUGCAUCACCAUCGUCAUGCUCUGUAAGCCAUGUGAAUUGGUUUGAUGGAGAAACUAGUCGAGGUGGCUACUGCUUGUACCUGCUAUAGCGAUUACUGAUUGAGGUGAAUACCUAGUCUUUAACCAGUAGUCUGUUACUUGUGUUAUGUGUAUAACUUCUGAUGAUGCUAAACUGAUCU